UUUAAGCUAUCUCAAUAAACAAUUUGACUAGUAAUAGUAUCAACCUACCACUGAAAAUGGUAAACAUUGUACACCGUACCGAACAGUAGAACCGGUGUCCCUUUUAACAUUUUAAGAAAUGCAACCGAUUGAUAAAUGGAACCGGAUUAAUCAUUUUAAACGUUUUCAUAAAUCUGCAUGUAUUGCUAUUAUAUCAUAUUAUAACAAUUUAUUUCAGACCCUUACUCAGUAGGAACGAACCUUUCAACUGACAAAACAAAAUGUGAACCCUUUGUAAACCUUUUUAGGCAGCUAUGAAUAGUAAGUUAAAGUACAAGAAGUGAAAAUUAUUCUUCUCGUUUAAAUUUUUCUACAAACUGUUCAAUAAUUAUUAUUUCAUGAAAUGUGAUCAUUUUUACUUUUACGUUCCGAACACGAAAUGUGGUGUUAACCAAAAACUACAUAAUAACAGAUUUUUCUCUGUCACUCGACCAUUUCAGAAUCCAGGAACGAGCCUCAUGAUAUUGAAACGAAGAUAUCGAGAAAAGACACGGACCUCCGCCACUACCCUUACUCAGUAGGAACAAACCUUUCAACUGACAAAACAAAAUGUGAACCCUUUGUAAACCUUUUUAGGCAGCUGUGAAUAGUAAGUACAAGAAGUGAAAAAUAUUCUUCUCGUUUAAAUUUUUCUACAAACUGUUCAAUAAUCAUUACUUCAUGAAAUGUGAUCAUUUCUACUUUUACGUUCCAAACACGAACUGUGGUGUUUACCAAAGACUUUUAUAUAAUACCAGAUUUUUGUCACUCUACCAUUUCAGAAUCCAGGAACGAGCCUCAUGAUAUUGAAACGAAGAUCUCGAGAAAAGACACAGACCUCCGCCACUACCCUUACUCAGUAGGAACAAACCUUUCAACUGACAAAACAAAAUGUGAACCCUUUGUAAACCUUUUUAGGCAGCUGUGAAUAAAUCCAGGAACGAGCCUCAUGAUAUUGAAACGAAGAUCACGAGAAAAGACACGGACCUCCGCCACUGUGAGAUACUGCUGUAACCAGACAUUUCAAGCUAUCUUAAUGAACAAUUUGACUAGUAAUAGUAUCAACCUACCACUGAAGAUGGUAAACAUUGUACACCCUACCGAACAGUAGAACCGGUAUCCCUUUUAACAUUUUAAGAAAUGCAACCGAUUGAUAAAUGGAAUCGGAUUUUUUUGAGAGAUAACUUUAAAUCAUUCUAAACGUUUUUAUAAAUCGGCAUUCACCGAGAAAUUUAGAGAUUUAUUUUGAAAUUUAAAAAAUAAAUGUUUUGCGGGGUGUGAUUAUUUUUCUUUAAGGUGUACAUUAUUACUUACCAUUUUUAACUGAUGUUUUUUAAAACAAGAAAUUUAAAUAAAUUUUACCUUACAAUUUACAUUACUUUUUUAAAGUACUAAUUUAAAAGCACAUAGUUGCAUUAUUUUUGACUUUUCAGUUUUAAAUUACUUCGUUA